rnacentral:rRNA from 1 species
CAGUCGAGGGGCAGCGGGGCGGCAGGCUUGCCUGCCGUUGCCGGCGACCGGCGCACGGGUGAGUAACACGUAUGCAACCUGCCCGUGGCAGGGGGAUAAGCGGGGGAAACCCCGUCUAAUACCGCGUAACGCGGCCUAGGGACAUCCCAAGGCCGCCAAAGGGAGCAAUCCCGGCCACGGAUGGGCAUGCGGCGCAUUAGCUAGUCGGCGGGGUAACGGCCCACCGAGGCGACGAUGCGUAGGGGUUCUGAGAGGAAGGCCCCCCACACUGGUACUGAGACACGGACCAGACUCCUACGGGAGGCAGCAGUGAGGAAUAUUGGUCAAUGGGCGCGAGCCUGAACCAGCCAAGUCGCGUGAGGGAGGACGGCCCUACGGGUUGUAAACCUCUUUUGCCGGGGAGCAACGGGCGCCACGUGUGGCGCCACUGAGAGUACCCGGAGAAAAAGCAUCGGCUAACUCCGUGCCAGCAGCCGCGGUAAUACGGAGGAUGCGAGCGUUAUCCGGAUUUAUUGGGUUUAAAGGGUGCGUAGGCGGAUCGUUAAGUCAGUGGUCAAAUUGAGGGGCUCAACCCCUUCCCGCCAUUGAAACUGGCGAUCUUGAGUGGAAGAGAAGUAUGCGGAAUGCGUGGUGUAGCGGUGAAAUGCAUAGAUAUCACGCAGAACCCCGAUUGCGAAGGCAGCAUGCCGGCUUCCUACUGACGCUGAAGCACGAAAGCGUGGGGAUCGAACAGGAUUAGAUACCCUGGUAGUCCACGCGGUAAACGAUGAGCGCUAGGUGUCCGGGGGGAAUGGCCCCUGGGCGCCACAGCGAAAGCGUUAAGCACUCCACCUGGGGAGU